UGCAAGACGGUUGUGGAUGACCUUAGACAUGCUGCUCAUGCAUAUCAUAUUGACAAGACAAAGAAAGGGACACCAUUGCUCCCUGGAUGUGCUAUAUUACUGAUUAUAUUGUAUUUGGAUAACCUACAAUGCAAACACCAGAUUGAACACAUGAACACUCCUCGUGCAAAGUACUUCGAUCAAAAUGUUAUACAAAAGAUCACUUCUGCUGAUAGGACCAAGGACCAACAAGGGAAGGCUAUGUUUGGGCUAUUACCGCUUAAGAGUAGCAACAAUACUUGCUACUAUACGACCCAUCACCCAUUUUCAGAUGUGCCAGCAAACAAUGAACCAUUGGCUGCAUCUUAUUUCCCAAGUAUACUCGCAGAACUGGGUGGAUUUGUUGAUCAGAUUAAUAGCAGGACAAGGCAGUCGCAGGCAAGGGCAGCCCUGGCAAAGUUUGAUGCCAAAUCCAAGAAAGCGUCAAGCUAUAUGAACAUGGGGCAACUGAUGUUAUAGAAUGCACACCAGGAAGUUAUACGAAAUCUACGGGCAAUUUUGCAGGACAAGGCACAUGGCAACAUUGGUCAAGAUCAUCAUCAUCAACCCAACACUUCUG